rnacentral:lncRNA from 1 species
AAACUUCUCGUCUACGAUCGGGCAAUCAAGUGAAUCGACUCAAUUAACCGAGCCGGAUCACAUCAUUUGGUAUCAGAGCUACUAAAACGAGGAGUGCAGACAUUCGUAUCAAGCUCGGAGUAGGUUCGUAACGUAAAAAAAAGUCAAAAAAAUCAAAAAAAAUUUUGAGUUGGAAUUUAAUUUUUUUUUCUUCCUUGUAUUUAGUUUACUAUUGUAUUGGAUUUAAAAAAAAAGAGAAGAAAUUCGGAAAAAAAUUCAAAAAAAAUCAAAAAAAAAGGAAAAAAAAAGAAGUGACAAAAAAUUGAGUUAAAAAAAAGAAGAAAGAAAAAAAAAGUGAAAAGUCUUGCGAGUAUUUAUCAUUAUCACUUAUUACUCCGAUCAUCAAGUUUCCCUUCCUACCAUUAUUUACCCAUCCCAACGCCACACUUUAAACCAAUUUUCUUCUUUGUUCAGCCUACCCUACACCCGACAUUAUCCCUUGUAACCCAUUUUGAAACCGACCUUCAAGCAGCAAAUUAAGUCUAUCGAGACGAAUUACGAAUUUGUGAGACGAGGUCGAGGGGUAAAAGGCAAGAGAGCGUGAGUUCAUUCGAAA